AGGACGAACGCUGGCGGCGUGCUUAACACAUGCAAGUCGAACGGUGAAGGAGAGCUUGCUCUCCGGAUCAGUGGCGAACGGGUGAGUAACACGUGAGUAACCUGCCCUUGACUCUGGGAUAAGCGUUGGAAACGACGUCUAAUACCGGAUACGAGCUUCAGCCGCAUGGCUAGGAGCUGGAAAGAAUUUCGGUCAAGGAUGGACUCGCGGCCUAUCAGCUAGUUGGUGAGGUAAUGGCUCACCAAGGCGACGACGGGUAGCCGGCCUGAGAGGGUGACCGGCCACACUGGGACUGAGACACGGCCCAGACUCCUACGGGAGGCAGCAGUGGGAAUAUUGCACAAUGGGCGCAAGCCUGAUGCAGCAACGCCGCGGUGGGGACGAAGGCCGUCGGUUGUACGACCGUCGUUUAGUAGGAAGAAGCGAAAGUGACGGUACUGACAGAAAAGCAACCGCUAACGUACGUACGCC
rnacentral:rRNA from 1 species